rnacentral:rRNA from 1 species
UACGUAGGGGGCAAGCGUUGUCCGGAUUUAUUGGGCGUAAAGAGCGUGUAGGCGGCCAGGUAGGUCCGUUGUGAAAACUCGAGGCUCAACCUCGAGACGCCGAUGGAAACCAUCUGGCUAGAGUCCGGAAGAGGAGAGUGGAAUUCCCGGUGUAGCGGUGAAAUGCGCAGAUAUCGGGAAGAACACCCGUGGCUAAGGCGGCUCUCUAGUACGGUACUGACGCUGAGACGCGAAAGCGUGGGGAGCGAACAGG